GCCUGCAGGAGAACUCAGCUUGUAGAGCAUGAGAGUCUGAAUCUCAAAGUUGUGGGUUCAAGCCCCACAUUGGGCA